GAUGAACGCUGGCGGCGUGCUUAACACAUGCAAGUCGAACGGAAAGGCUCCUGCUUGCAGGGGUACUCGAGUGGCGAACGGGUGAGUAACACGUGGGUGAUCUGCCCUGCACUUCGGGAUAAGCCUGGGAAACUGGGUCUAAUACCGGAUAGGACGAUGGUUUGGAUGCCAUUGUGGAAAGUUUUUUCGGUGUGGGAUCAGAUCGCGGCCUAUCAGCUUGUUCGUGGGGUAAUGGCCUACCAAGGCGUCGACGGGUAGCCGGCCUGAGAGGGUGUACGGCCACAUUGGGACUGAGAUACGGCCCAGACUCCUACGGGAGGCAGCAGUGGGGAAUAUUGCACAAUGGGCGCAAGCCUGAUGCAGCGACGCCGCGUGGGGGAUGACGGCCUUCGGGUUGUAAACUCCUUUCGCUAGGGACGAAGCGCAAGUGACGGUACCUGGAGAAGAAGCACCGGCUAACUACGUG
rnacentral:rRNA from 1 species